rnacentral:rRNA from 1 species
AACGAACGCUGGCGGCAGGCUUAACACAUGCAAGUCGAACGGGUGUAGCAAUACAUCAGUGGCGGACGGGUGAGUAACACGUGGGAACCUUCCUAGGGGUACGGAACAACUCAGGGAAACUUGAGCUAAUACCGUAUACGUCCGUGAGGAGAAAGAUUUAUCGCCCUUAGACGGGCCCGCGUCGGAUUAGCUAGUUGGUGGGGUAACGGCCUACCAAGGCGACGAUCCGUAGCUGAUCUUAGAGGAUGAUCAGCCACACUGGGACUGAGACACGGCCCAGACUCCUACGGGAGGCAGCAGUGGGGAAUUUUGGACAAUGGGCGCAAGCCUGAUCCAGCCAUGCCGCGUGAGUGAAGAAGGUCUUCGGAUUGUAAAGCUCUUUUGCCAGGGGCGAUAAUGACGGUACCUGGAGAAUAAGCCCCGGCAAACUUCGUGCCAGCCGCCGCAGUAACAC